GGUCGCUUAGCUCAGUUGGUUAGAGCGUGGUGCUAAUAGUCACGUGACGAAAACGCCAAGGUCGCGAGUUCGACCCUCGUAGUGACCA
rnacentral:tRNA from 1 species